UGGGGAAUAUUGCACAAUGGGCGCAGGCCUGAUGCAGCCAUGCCGCGUGUAUGAAGAAGGCCUUCGGGUUGUAAAGUACUUUCAGCGAGGAGGAAGGCGAUGCGGUUAAUAACCGUGUCGAUUGACGUUACUCGCAGAAGAAGCACCGGCUAACUCCGUGCCAGCAGCCGCGGUAAUACGGAGGGUGCAAGCGUUAAUCGGAAUUACUGGGCGUAAAGCGCACGCAGGCGGUCUGUCAAGUCGGAUGUGAAAUCCCCGGGCUCAACCUGGGAACUGCAUUCGAAACUGGCAGGCUUGAGUCUUAUAGAGGGGGGUAGAAUUCCAGGUGUAGCGGUGAAAUGCGUAGAGAUCUGGAGGAAUACCGGUGGCGAAGGCGGCCCCCUGGACAAAGACUGACGCUCAGGUGCGAAAGCGUGGGGAGCAAACA
rnacentral:rRNA from 1 species